rnacentral:rRNA from 1 species
CCCUUAGAUGUCCUGGGCCGCACGCGCGCUACAAUGAUAAAUUCAGAAUGUUUUUCCUGCCCUGGAAAGGUGUGGGUAAUCAUUAUAGUAUUUAUCGUGUUAGGGAUCGAUCUUUGCAAUUAUAGAUCUUGAACGAGGAAUGCCUAGUAAGUGCAGCUCAUCAGGCUGUACUGAUUACGUCCCUGCCCUUUGUACACACCGCCCGUCGCUCCUACCGAUUUCGAGUGUUCAGGUGAACCUUCUGGACUGGGCCGCAAGGCUCGGGAAGUUAGGUAAAUCUUAACACUUAGAGGAAGGAGAAGUCGUAACA